AUUGGAUUGCAUUACAAGGACCCAUGGUUUGCCAUGUAACAAACUUCCAAUACCAAACAGGUAAAUUGAAAACUUGUCCACUCACCACUGUACCUAGAGAGUGUCCAGCGAAUGUAGAGAAAAGAGGAAUCUUUCUUCUGGGAAACUUCUACACUGUGUCUUCGGUUGGAUGCUUAAGUGUCAACAAUAAGAAACACCUAAAAUCGGAUAUUGACCAUUACGUUACACACAUCAAAGCACCGAACAGCAAGCUUUCUUUGUCAAGUGACACACUGUCUUACCUACAAACAUAUAAACUGGUUUAAAUAACAACGAACUCAUUUGAUAAUUAAAACAAAAAUUUAUUUAAAAGUGCUACAAAUCGUGAUUUUGUUAUUAUUGCACAAAACUACAUCAAUCUGUCUUAACUGGCGCGUUCGCUCUAGCAUAUCCGUAGCUUUUACUAUUAUACAUUUCUGAGUAUAUAUCCGACAUUCGACCACUCAAUAACAUACCAGGCCUAAACCAACAUUAUUCAGGAAACACACAUUUGGUAAUAAAUCGAUUGCUUUCCCUUCGAUAAAGUUAGGCCAGCUUUGCUAACUGAGUAAUGUUUGGGUUUACCUCGUCAGCGCUUCAUUGAACGUUCUCUACUGGUGGUAACCAAAUGAUCAGGAACAGCGGCAGCAGGGCCCCCAUUUCCACUCUGCUGCUGGAAGCGGUCUCCAGAGAUUUGAAUGUUGUGUAUGCCGGUUCAGUGGUCUCCGUGCCCGGUGUUGUGCUCACUUCGUCAGCUGCGGCGGAAACUAUCGAUUGGAUUGUGACAGUUGGUGGCAUUCUGAUUGUGCGUCUGGAAAUCCUCUCUCGGUGGAGCUACCCGAUCCACCAACAUCAUUAAUGCGAAUCCCAGCACCAGCAGACCUAUCGUAGACUAGUGUCCAUCCGCAUAAUGCUUUGGUCUUCUCCAGUUUGCUCGAACAGAAAUCGAUUUCCUGCCAGAAUGAUGACCGUGGCUACCAGCGGUGG